rnacentral:lncRNA from 1 species
GUCAGGCCUGUACUGGUGGAAGUUGGCUGGAGAUCCAGAGGGUGAGAUGGGAAUUUGGGAUGUUCUUGUUCUCCCUCCCCAGGUACCAAACUAAUGACAAAACUUUCAAGGAGCUCGUUGGUUUCUGGAUCAAAAACCUGUCCAUGCGAGUCCCAAACUCGGUGGUGCUUCCUGUGGGAACUCAUGUGGACUGCUGCCAGGAGCAGGAGGUAGCAGAGAAGACACAUGACAUCAUGGGCAGGAUCACAGCCAUGCUGGCAGAGAGGAAGAGCAACCUCGCUCACUUCAUCGACAACCUGGAGGGCAGUGAGGAGCCCAAGAUUUACAUGGACCAGUGGGAGAAGCUGAAAGAGAUGGAGAGCUGCACUUUAACUGUAGGGCUGAGGUUAUCCUGGGUUCUGGCUGGCUGAGGUCACCUGCUGUCUCUGGCAGCACAAUGUGCUACUGGCUAAGGUGACCUGAUGCAAAUGCAUCAGGCCACUACUGCAGCCUCUCCCCAGGCUGGAGUGGAUGUGGUAACCCCUGGCUGUGACCUGCAGGGUCUUUGUCCCUGGUAGGUGAUGGGCAUCUCCUCCUGUGGCCCAUAGCAAGUGCCUGAGGAGAAGUGUGAGGGGUCAUUACCAUCACCAGAUGAUUUUCAGGAACUGCUGCAGAGCAGAGGUGUGAAGGAGGUGCCCUCUGAAGCUGAGCCAGUGGUGUGUCUCACCCUGGGUGACCUCAUGGGCAUUAGGUCCUUCCUCUACCUACAGGCUAGAAAACUCCUCUGGAUGUGCUCUUGACAGGUAUGUGCUUCCUCUUUUCCAGAUCUUAAACUUAGUUACUGUCAACUGCACGGAUCGCUGUGACAUCAAGAAGCUGGAGGCCACCAUUUUGAAGCAUGUGAAGAAGGAGGAGCUCUUCCCCGAGGUUGUCCGGGUGCUGCCACCCGUCUACAGGCAGGUGGAAGCUGCCCUCGUGGAUAUUGCACAGAGUGAGGAGAUGGCAGGCCAUGGCAUGAUGGACCUCCAGCACUUGGUCAGCAAGCUGUCCCAGCGUGAGCACCUGGCCAGCCUGGGCAGGGAGCUCCUCCAGGACAUCCUGCGGUACCUGCACCGCGUCGGGCUCGUCGUGUGGUACGAGGAGAUCAAGCCCUUGGAGAGCACCGUGUUCCUCCAGCCCACAUUCCUAAUAACCAUGUUCAAGCUGCUGGUGCGGCACCACCUGGUGCAGCAGCUGGAGAGCAUCCCUGCAGAGACCCUGAUUGGGGAGCAUGCCACCAUCAGGGACAGGGCCAACUGGGUGUGCAACUUCAAGGCAAAGGCCAUGCUGUGCCACCAGGCUGUGCGUGCCUUGGUGAAGCACCAGCUCUGCUCGGAAGGGAUGUGGGAUGUCUUUGAAGAAAUCAUGGGACACGGGCCUCACAGAGGGAGAGGGAAGCUCUUCAGCCUCCUGGAGCACUUUGAGCUCUGCCUGGAGGUGAAGCACACUGAAGCACUCAACCCACAGGCCAGGGAGUUUGUGCCUGGGAAGCCUUGGGAGACAACACGGAGCCAAGGCAAGUCCUGGUACUUGUUCCAAACCUAUCUGAACCAGACAGAGGAAGUGUCUGAGGUGUGGGAAGGAGACCACCCUGAGGACCUCCACGUUCGUGCCUACUUCUCACCUGAAAUACCUGAGGGCUUCUUCCAGAGGUUCCUGGUGAAAGCUUGCUCUUUCUAUUCCACGCACUGGGUGGCCAAGGUGACCUGCCUGCUUGUAUGCAAUGGCAAACCUCUGCUGAUCAAAGAGAAUAACCAGAGGGCCUACAGCUACCUGGAGCUCCACUGCAGAAAGCCAUCAGAAAGGACAGGUAAGAUCCCUGGUUCAUAUUUCGUGUCUCUCCUUAGCUCUGCCCCUGCCACCUCCAGCCCUAUGGGAAGUGUCCCAAGUAGCCUCUACCACAUGUCCUAG